CCUCAGUAACGGCGAGUGAAGCGGUAACAGCUCAAAUUUGAAAUCUGGCCUCACGGUCCGAGUUGUAAUUUGUAGAGGAUGCUUCGAGCAUGGUCUGGCCUAAGUUCCUUGGAACAGGACGUCAUAGAGGGUGAGAAUCCCGUAUGCGGCCAGGUGCCUACGCUCAUGUGAAGCUCCUUCGACGAGUCGAGUUGUUUGGGAAUGCAGCUCAAAAUGGGUGGUAAAUUUCAUCUAAAGCUAAAUAUUGGCCAGAGACCGAUAGCGCACAAGUAGAGUGAUCGAAAGAUGAAAAGCACUUUGGAAAGAGAGUUAAACAGUACGUGAAAUUGUUGAAAGGGAAGCGCUUGCAACCAGACUUGCGCGCGGCCGAUCAUCCGGUGUUCUCACCGGUGCACUCGGCCGUGCUCAGGCCAGCAUCGGUUUUGGCGGCUGGAUAAAGGCCCUAGGAAUGUAGCUCCUCUCGGGGAGUGUUAUAGCCUAGGGUGCAAUGCAGCCUGCUGGGACCGAGGACCGCGCUUCGGCUAGGAUGCUGGCGUAAUGGUUGUAAGCGGCCCGUCUUGAAACACGGACCAAGGAGUCUAACAUCUAUGCGAGUGUUUGGGUGUCAAACCCAUACGCGUAAUGAAAGUGAACGGAGGUGAGAACCCUUAAGGGUGCAUCAUCGACCGGUCCUGAAGUUUACGGAAGGAUCUGAGUAAGAGCAUAGCUGUUGGGACCCGAAAAGUGGUGAACUAUGCCUGAAUAGGGUGAAGCCAGAGGAAACUCUGGUGGAGG
rnacentral:rRNA from 2 species